rnacentral:rRNA from 1 species
CGGGAGACACACGGCGGGUGCUAACGUCCGUCGUGAAGAGGGAAACAACCCAGACCGCCAGCUAAGGUCCCAAAGUCAUGGUUAAGUGGGAAACGAUGUGGGAAGGCCCAGACAGCCAGGAUGUUGGCUUAGAAGCAGCCAUCAUUUAAAGAAAGCGUAAUAGCUCACUGGUCGAGUCGGCCUGCGCGGAAGAUGUAACGGGGCUAAACCAUGCACCGAAGCUGCGGCAGCGACGCUUAUGCGUUGUUGGGUA